UAGUUUGAUCCUGGCUCAGAACGAACGUUAGCGGCGCGCCUAACACAUGCAAGUCGAGCGAGAAAGGGCUUCGGCCCCGGUAAAGCGGCGCACGGGUGAGUAACACGUAGGUCAUCUGCCCCUGAGCGGGGGAUAACCUUCCGAAAGGAGGGCUAAUACCGCAGGGGACCACGGUGACGCGAGUCAUUGAGGUGAAAGCCGGCCUCUGCAUGCAAGCUGGCGCUUGGGGAUGAGCCUGCGGCCCAUCAGCUAGUUGGUAGGGUAAUGGCCUACCAAGGCGUACACGGGUAGCUGGUCUGAGAGGAUGAUCACCCACACUGGAACUGAGACGCGGUCCAGACUCCUACGGGAGGCAGCAGUGGGGAAUCUUGCGCAAUGGGCGAAAGCCUGACGCAGCGACGCCGCGUGAGUGAUGAAGGCCUUCGGGUUGUAAAGCUCUGUGGAGGGGGACGAAUAAGUCGGAGCGAACAGCUCCGAUGAUGACGGUACCCCUUUAGCAAGCACCGGCUAACUCUGUGCCAGCAGCCGCGGUAAGACAGAGGGUGCAAACGUUGUUCGGAAUUACUGGGCGUAAAGCGCGUGUAGGCGGCUUGGCAAGUCGGGUGUGAAAGCCCUGGGCUCAACCUAGGAAGUGCACUCGAAACUGCUUGGCUGGAGUGUCAGAGAGGAAAGCGGAAUUCUCGGUGUAGAGGUGGAAUUCGUAGAUAUCGAGAGAAACAUCGGUGG
rnacentral:rRNA from 1 species